rnacentral:lncRNA from 1 species
GCUCCUCUUCAACCCCUGCAUCCCCCCAGGUUCCUGCGCAGGCCUUGGCUUCCAGGAACCCUGCCUUGGAGUGUGUGGUUGGCUCUGUGACCAGCAAGCAGGAGGACGCAGCCGUCCCUCAGGGCUCUCACAUGUAGAGACGGGGUUUCACCAUGUUAUCCAGGAUGGUCUUGAUCUCCUGACCUUGUGAUCCGCCCACCUCAGCCUCCCAAAGUGCUGGGAUUACAGGCGUGAGCUACCACGCCCGGCCGAGAAGUCAAGUCUUUCAGAACAUACCUAAAGAAGAUAGCAUCCGUGGUGCAUGGAGCACGUGCCUCACCGGGUAUCACCACACCCACCACAGCUCAUGCGUGCGGAUGCCUUUGCUACCCAGGACAGGCAUAUGAGAAAGCCAAUGGGGUCAGUCCCGUGCACAAACGGCGUGUCAAGAAAUUAAAUGACUUCCUCAAAGCCCCACAACUACCUUCAGCAAAGCUGAGAUUCCCAGCCUUCUCUCUGCUCCCUGAGACUGACUCUGAAUUGCUUUUCUGCUAGAGAUGAAAACAAGAACAGAAACAGUGGAAACUAAUCAUGUUUUUUAAAGUUUUACAUAACCACUUAAUUAUAAUAUGCCUGCCCCAAAAGCACUCCUAAUGUCCUAACAUAUGUACUUGUGAUUUUUCUUUAAAUCUCAAAUAUUAUCGUCAUGGAAGAAAUACUCACAGUCCAUCAAGCCUUCCUGUCAGGAGCAUUUCCACCCUACAGACCAGCCAGGGAGGCAGAGCGCGGCCCGGGUCUGUGGGUCACGAGGCCUUGAAUACUGUCCCAGUGUGGGUGAAAGUUUGCUGUGUUCCUUUACACUGUCCCCUGUGGGCCUGGCUUCCCUGUGAGAAGGUUAGAGAGCCCCAAACAAAACACGCAUUGGAACCUGCCUCCACGGCCCUCUCGGGCCCGCACAGGGCUGGCCGGCACCCCUGGAGCCUGUCCACCUCUGGAAGGGCAGUUGCAUGGCUCUGAGCACCGACCCAAACCCCUCGACCUGGAGGGGCCGUGUGCGUGCAGCCGACGUUGCACAGGCUGACCUUGUAGGGCGGUGGGUGGGGGAUGCGGGGCAGGGGGCACGGCCCGGGCGCUCUUCCGAUGCUGGUUUGUCUAUUUCAUGUUGUCCACCCUGUCAUCCACCGAUUGUUCUUCGGGUCCAUUGGUAAUAAUAUCUCCCACAUGGAUGGGCUCUUCCCAGAGCCUCGUGGGUGCUGAAUGAAACCCAAGGAAUGGCCUUCACCAGACACUUCGUUUUGGUUUUUUGCUUAUGAAAGGCAGGGUCCAGAUAGUUUCAUUUUCACAGGGACAUCUGUAAACACACACUUUGAUUUACACUGGAAAGAGCCAAUGGUUCUCAUUUACAGAGGGUCAAGCUCCAGGAGGGAGGCAAGGGGACGCUUUGGAAAAUAAAGUUCUUCCUUUUACUCCUGUGGGCCUGAUGUGCUCUGUGAAGUUCGAACACUGUAUCGACCAUCUCAGCUCUCAGGACAGCAUGUGACACCUCCAUCACCGGGAGCAAACUCCUCUGUGCAGGAGCACCUGAUUCUGCCAGGGCAGGAAAUUCACUCUCAGGAGUGUGUUCCACUCAGGCGGACUUGGCCUGCGCUGUGAGUCAAUUUGAAGAGGGUGUGUUGGCUUCGGCUGGUUGACCUUCAGAAGUCUGAGAAGGCCAAUGUCCCACUGAAUAAACUGCAGAUGAAAGAGACUCAUGGGUCCUCAGAAGGAGGCAUAUGGCUGCUCUCGGGAUCUUGACUUUUGAAAUAUUUGUUUAAAGCAAACACUUGCAGUGGCCGUGGAAAGCCUCCCGUUUCCUCUGGACCCUCAGCCUCUCCUUCGCAGGGCACCGGGCUCUCUCCCUCGGGGACAAUGAGGUGGGAGAGGCUUUUGUUUAUUCUUCAGGAGUCUCUGAGAGUUCACAGUCAUGUUAAAAAUUAACCUGGGGCCAGGCGUGGUGGCUCAUGCCUGUAAUCCCAGCACUCUGGGAGGCACAGGCAGAUCACCUGAGGUCAGGAGUUCAAGACCAGCCUGGCCAAUGUGGAGAAACCCCAUCUCUACUAAAAAUACAAAAAUGAGUCGGGUGUGGUGAUGGGUGCCUGUAGUCCCAGCUACUCAGGAGGCUGAGGCAGGAGAAUCGCUUGAACCCGGGAGGCGGAGGUUGCAGUGAACCGAGGUCGUGCCACUGCACUCCAGCCUGAGUGACAGAGUGAGACUCUGUCUCCAA